UUGACUUCUACUUGCAAGCCUCCAUUUCCAUUUUCCUACAUUGUUGUUCUUCGAUCGGUUCAGUUAAUCGUCUCUUACAAUGGCGGAUACUGAAACGUUUGCAUUCCAGGCCGAGAUUAAUCAGCUCCUCAGUCUGAUUAUCAACACCUUUUACAGCAACAAGGAGAUCUUUCUUCGUGAACUUAUCAGCAAUUCUUCCGACGCUCUUGAUAAGAUCCGAUUUGAGAGCUUGACUGACAAGAGUAAGCUAGAUGCUCAGCCUGAGCUCUUUAUCCACAUCAUUCCUGAUAAGGCAAACAAUACAUUGACGAUUAUUGACAGCGGUAUUGGGAUGACCAAGGCUGAUUUGGUGAACAAUCUUGGUACCAUUGCAAGAUCUGGGACCAAGGAAUUCAUGGAAGCCAUUGCAGCUGGUGCUGAUGUGAGCAUGAUUGGACAGUUUGGAGUUGGUUUCUACUCUGCCUACCUAGUGGCUGAAAAGGUCAUUGUUACCACUAAACACAAUGAUGAUGAGCAGUACGUAUGGGAGUCCCAAGCUGGGGGUUCGUUCACAGUCACCAGGGACACAUCUGGUGAGAAUCUUGGCCGAGGUACUAAGAUUACCCUGCACCUCAAGGAAGACCAGCUUGAAUAUCUUGAGGAGCGUCGUCUCAAGGACUUGAUCAAGAAGCAUUCUGAGUUUAUUAGCUACCCAAUUUCUCUCUGGGUGGAGAAGACCACCGAGAAGGAAAUCUCUGAUGAUGAGGAUGAGGAUGAGAAGAAGGACGAGGAAGGCAAGGUUGAGGAAGUUGAUGAGGAGAAGGAGAAGGAAGAAAAGAAGAAGAAGAAGAUCAAGGAAGUUUCUCACGAGUGGUCCUUGGUGAACAAACAGAAGCCUAUCUGGAUGAGGAAGCCAGAAGAGAUUACAAAGGAAGAGUAUGCUGCUUUCUACAAGAGCCUUACCAAUGACUGGGAGGAGCACCUUGCUGUUAAGCACUUCUCCGUCGAAGGUCAAUUGGAAUUCAAGGCCAUCCUCUUUGUUCCUAAGAGGGCUCCUUUUGAUCUAUUUGACACAAAGAAGAAGCCGAAUAACAUUAAGUUGUAUGUUCGCCGUGUCUUCAUCAUGGACAACUGCGAGGAAUUGAUUCCUGAAUACCUUGGCUUCGUUAAGGGAAUUGUUGAUUCUGAGGAUCUUCCUCUUAACAUUUCUAGAGAAAUGUUGCAACAGAACAAGAUCUUGAAGGUCAUCCGCAAGAACUUGGUGAAGAAGUGCCUUGAGCUGUUCUUUGAGAUUGCUGAGAACAAAGAAGACUACAACAAGUUCUACGAGGCCUUCUCCAAGAACUUGAAGCUGGGUAUCCAUGAAGAUUCCCAGAACAGGCCUAAGAUUGCUGAACUUCUCCGUUUCCACUCGACCAAGAGUGGUGAUGAGUUGACCAGCCUGAAGGAUUAUGUGACCAGAAUGAAGGAGGGCCAGGAGGACAUCUUCUACAUCACUGGUGAAAGCAAGAAGGCUGUGGAGAACUCUCCUUUCCUCGAAAAGCUCAAGAAGAAGGGUUACGAAGUUCUGUUCAUGGUUGAUGCUAUUGACGAGUAUGCAGUUGGUCAGCUGAAGGAAUUUGAAGGCAAAAAGCUUGUAUCAGCAACCAAGGAAGGUCUGAAACUGGAUGAGAGCGAAGAUGAAAAGAAGAAGAAGGAAGCUUUGAAGGAGAAGUUUGAGGGGCUUUGCAAGGUGAUAAAGGAUGUUUUGGGCGACAGAGUUGAGAAGGUGGUUGUCUCUGACCGUGUCGUGGAUUCUCCCUGCUGUUUGGUAACUGGUGAAUAUGGAUGGACAGCCAACAUGGAAAGAAUCAUGAAGGCUCAAGCACUGAAGGACAACAGCAUGGCUGGUUACAUGUCUAGCAAGAAGACAAUGGAAAUCAACCCCGAGAACCCCAUCAUGGAAGAACUGAGGAAGAGGGCGGAUGUUGACAAGAACGACAAAUCCAUCAAGGACCUCGUUCUCCUCCUCUUCGAGACUUCCCUCCUCACCUCCGGCUUCAGCCUGGACGACCCAAACACCUUCGGAAACAGAAUCCACAGGAUGUUGAAGCUUGGAUUGAGCAUCGAUGAGGAAGCUGGAGAAGCCGAUGCUGACAUGCCUCCUCUUGAGGAUGCCGAUGCCGAUGCCGAUGCAGAGGGCAGCAAGAUGGAGGAAGUGGAUUAAUUUUGAUGUCUCUAGCGGUGAAGCCGGUAACAUCUUUUCAAGGAUUGGAAACGCAAAUUUCAAUGCCUGAGGGGAUUUCGAAUGGGUUUUGUACGAACAAGUGUCUGCUCAGAAUCAAGUGAAGGCAUCGGUACAACGGAGAAUUCGACAAAGUAUAGCAGAAGAAUAUCCAGGACUAGAACCAGUUUUGGAUGAUUUGCUUCCUAACAAAGCUCCUCUGAUUGUAACUAAGUGGUUAGAAAUCUGCUGGCCUCUAUUUAUUUGUUCUGUUUAUGUUAAUGAACAUAUGAGGCUCAUAUUGGACGUUUUUGGAAUACUCUUAUAGUCAGAGCCAUCUCAAUCUGGUUGUUGUGAACAAUGUGCCACUCUUUUUUAAUAUCCGUGACGGCCCCUACAUGCCUACCCUAAGCUUGCUUCACCAAUGUAAUGUUUUCUUUCUCUC